GAUGAACGCUGGCGGCGUGCCUAAUACAUGCAAGUCGAGCGAACAGACGAGGAGCUUGCUCCUCUGACGUUAGCGGCGGACGGGUGAGUAACACGUGGAUAACCUACCUAUAAGACUGGGAUAACUUCGGGAAACCGGAGCUAAUACCGGAUAAUAUAUUGAACCGCAUGGUUCAAUAGUGAAAGACGGUUUUGCUGUCACUUAUAGAUGGAUCCGCGCCGCAUUAGCUAGUUGGUAAGGUAACGGCUUACCAAGGCAACGAUGCGUAGCCGACCUGAGAGAGUGAUCGGCCACACUGGAACUGAGACACGGUCCAGACUCCUACGGGAGGCAGCAGUAGGGAAUCUGCCGCAAUGGGCGAAAGCCUGACGGAGCAACGCCGCGUGAGUGAUGAAGGUCUUCGGAUCGUAAAACUCUGUUAUUAGGGAAGAACAAAUGUGUAAGUAACUAUGCACGUCUUGACGGUACCUAAUCAGAAAGCCACGGCUAACUACGUG
rnacentral:rRNA from 1 species